AUGUUAUACACAUGGUCACGUAUGGAUCAAAUUCAAGCAACGUUCAGCAGCAUGAAAAUAGUUUGGCAAUCCAACAACUCAAUGAAGAAAACUGAAAUAAAAAAAGUUCUUCCAGCAUUUAACUCCUCAGAUGUCCCUUCUGCUCCACAUAAUGCGCAACAUCUCUUAGAUGCGCUUUCAGGAAUUGGAACGAUAUAUGAGGCAAAACAAGUCAUCACAGGAGCAUCCUACGCCUCAAGGAAGCAAAUUUGUUACAACCUCCAUCCGUGGAUACACUCAUUUCAGCGACAGUUAAUUCUGGACGGAGGGAAUACAUUGCAACAUUUGAAACCAGAAAUCAAGAAAAAGAAUCAUUUCAAGUUGUAG
rnacentral:rRNA from 1 species